UUGUAGUGCCCAGUUCUCUGUGGCAGAAGGGGAUCCCAGCACACCCUGGAAAGUGUUCUCAUCUGUGCUCCGUUCUAGAUGAGGGUGCUGGGAAGGCUUCUCCAUCAGCUUGGAUGAAGAAAGUUUUGAAGCCUUUGGAGCCUCCUGCAGAGGUGUCUACAGGGAGGACUUCUCCAGCUUCUCCAGCUCCUACCUUGGAUGCUAUACGCAAGCCCAGCUCCCAUCACAGUGGUACUCCAACAGGGAAAAUCCAAGAUACAACAGAUAAGAUGUCCCUGCAACCAUCCAAACAGAUUAGGCAAGAGCUGAAGGAACCCCUGCAGACAAGAGAAGAGAUGGACAUAGUGCUUCAGUGGAAGGUGGCAUUUCUUGAAGGAAGCACUCCAUCUUUGGUGCCAGCCCCUGUUGCAGGA